ensembl:rRNA 5S_rRNA 5S ribosomal RNA
GUCUAGAGCCAUACCACCCUGAACCCUCAGCAGGAUUGGGCCUGGUCAGUACUUGGAUGGAAGACCAUCUGGGAAUACCUGGUGAUGUAGGCU